GACGAACGCUGGCGGCGUGCUUAACGCAUGCAAGUCGAACGGAAAGGCCCUGCUUUUGUGGGGUGCUCGAGUGGCGAACGGGUGAGUAACACGUGAGUAACCUGCCCUUGACUUUGGGAUAACUUCAGGAAACUGGGGCUAAUACCGGAGAGGAGCUGCUGCUGCAUGGUGGGGGUUGGAAAGUUUCGGCGGUUGGGGAUGGACUCGCGGCUUAUCAGCUUGUUGGUGGGGUAGUGGCUUACCAAGGCUUUGACGGGUAGCCGGCCUGAGAGGGUGACCGGCCACAUUGGGCCUGCGAUACGGCCCAGACUCCUACGGGAGGCAGCAGUGGGGAAUCUUGCCCAAUGGGCGGAAGCCUGAUGCAGCAACGCCGCGUGCGGGAUGACGGCCUUCGGGUUGUGAACCGCUUUCGCCUGUGACGAAGCGUGAGUGACGGUAAUGGGUAAAGAAGCACCGGCUAACUACGUG
rnacentral:rRNA from 1 species